rfam:Oryza sativa (indica cultivar-group) chromosome 10, whole genome shotgun sequence.
AAUAAACGCAGCCAUCAGUUUCCGUGUUUAAUUUUGAUCGUUCGUCUUAUUAAAAAAAUUUUAUAAUUAAUAUUUUUAUUGCUAUUAGAUUAUAAAACAUGAAUAGUACUUUAUGCAUGACUUAUAUUUUUUAAUUUUUUCAAAAAAAGUUUUCAAAUAAGACGGACGAUCAAUUUUAGACACGGAAAUUUAUUGUUACGCUUAUU